rnacentral:lncRNA from 1 species
AUGGGAACAAAUGUCCCUAGAACAAAGCCUCAAGCAGGGCGGCUGCUAAAGCAGCAGCUUCUCUGCCACAUGUACGUGGGCUGCCGAAGCCCCCCAUUCUGCCAGGUGCUCCAGCUGUGCUCAGGGAGCCCUGCACCUGCAGAAGUUUCCAGUGUACGUCCUGGGGCUCAGGACCUGGGGAGUAGCACAGGCCUUUCCCUAACGGCUCUCUUCUUUCUCUUCUUAGGUCCUCAAGGUGAAGCUUCCCAAGACAAAUCCUCCAACGUAGGGUGCUGCUACUCUGCGUCUGGUAACACGGUCAUCUUCCAGGAAGGUGCUCUCGGAAGGCUGUCUGCCCUUCAGAGGGGAGAUCACUCCACCUCAGAAGGCUUUUCCAUGUCAUUUCGCUGCACGGGGCUGGCGCCAGUUGUCCUUUGGAGCUCUCCUGAGUCUAUUUUGGGGUGAGCUUCUCGCAGGCCUCCCUGCGUCAUCCUACAGCCUGGGUGAAUCAGUGUCUCGUCGGAAGUGUGAACAGCAGUUCCACAGGGCUUUCCUGCCAUUUCCGGUAGCGAGGCUUCUCUGUUUAAAGUGGUCCAGCCGUCGGCGUGGCUGUCUGGGAUCGAGGCCAGAGUGGCCUGCCCUGGGCACGGCCGGAUGACCAUGAUCGUGUAAACAACAGCAAGGUCUUUCGGCUUUGAAGUUGGUUGCUGAAGCUUGAGAGGUUCUGCCCCACGCGGCUCUGCUCAAGAUGAAAUCUGCCGGGUCGGUUUGCAAAACACAUCCACCCCUGCUCCAGGCUGCCUUUGUUGUGAGAAACAGACUCUGCCUUGGAAGAUGGUCAUGGAUCAUCCACUUUGCGGGAAGAGAUCAGUGCCUCGUAUUUUUUCCCACUGAGGCUAAAGUCAGCAAGCAAGGAAAACAGAUGUGGUAUUUCCCUGCCAUCCCUCACCCACGCAGUCCUCUCUACCAAUGAGUCAGUCCCACCGCCAUUCGUGUACUUUGUUAAAAUGUUCAGGAUGCUCCGUGACUCCCUUCUCGGGUGUAGUCUCUUGCCGUAGGUUCAGAAAAAACUGAAAAGUGACAGACUUUCAUUCUAAGGGUGACUUUGCCGAUACUCCCACUGUCCGUGUUCUAAAUCACCCUCUGAAACGCAGUCUUACAGAUGAAGAUGUGUAAAUCUGAGCCUUAGUGUGUUCUUUUUCCUGUGGCACCCUUUUUCAUUUAAUUGCAGAUAGAGCAGAAAACAGAGAGAGAUUAGAACUGUCAGAAAUUUAAAAUGGGAAGCGACCUGACAAAAAAGAAAGAGAAACAUAAGCCAAAAUUAGUACUGCUACAGUUUCAUCGAGGGUAGUUUUCUUGUACUUUCCCCUCCCC